GCCUUUGUAGAUCAACGGUAGAUCGCCUGGAAAAUAUGAGCUGGUGUGAUCAAAGUUCUCGAGGAAACGUGAGUUCAACUCUCAUCGGAGGCG